UUAUUUUUUUUGUAUCAGAACAGCAUGGUUCUUCAUGGUACUGCAGUGUUGAACAGGAAGGUCUUAAACCUGUAUAUGUGGUCUACCUUCUUAGAUCAUAGGACGACGCUACCAGGAGCUGACUGCCUAGAAUUCCAGAGCCUGCUUCCACACCACUUUUUGACCCCUUCCCUAGUGACACCUCCCUGAUGCAUCUCCCUGAUGCACAAUCAGUGCUUUUGAGAAUCACAUCUCCUGAGAUAAGAUACAGGAAAUAUAAGCAGUAAGUUGAUGCCUUUAAGACAUUUCCUGAGCUGGAACUACAAAACCUGCUGGAAGAGGAAGGAAAGUUUCCAGAACUAUGGUACUCAACAGGGUGCUAUGGUUCUCCUCAGGUGAGAAGACAUUACACAAUUAUCUGGAAACAUUUAG
rnacentral:lncRNA from 1 species